GUUGUGUAAAACGGCUUUGAUGUUCAGGGCGUCGGUUCCUUGUUCAAGGGUCACUUCCGGUAUUCCGAAGGGCUCGAUUGACGGGAUGCUCAGUUCCGGUACGCCUUUCAGCAGGUACUUAAAUUGUCAUAAGCAGUAUUGAUCUACAAAUCCAAUUACCCUUAUUAAUGUUACUAAUUACUAUGAUGAAAUGUUUAUAAUUAUAUAUUGCGUUCCCCAUUUCUGUUACAUAGUCCCUUUCAAUUAAAUUUAUUUAUAAAUAAAGUAAACUAUAAUGUACUGUUAAACAAAUAUAAUUUUAUAAUUAAUUAUAA